rnacentral:rRNA from 1 species
CCUACGGGUGGCUGCAGUGGGGAAUAUUGGACAAUGGGCGAAAGCCUGAUCCAGCCAUGCCGCGUGUGUGAAGAAGGCCUUCGGGUUGUAAAGCACUUUCAGUGGGGAAGAAAGCCUUGGGGCUAAUACCCUCGAGGAAGGACAUCACCCACAGAAGAAGCACCGGCUAACUCCGUGCCAGCAGCCGCGGUAAUACGGAGGGUGCGAGCGUUAAUCGGAAUUACUGGGCGUAAAGCGCGCGUAGGCGGUCUGAUAAGCCGGUUGUGAAAGCCCCGGGCUCAACCUGGGAACGGCAUCCGGAACUGUCAGGCUAGAGUGCAGGAGAGGAGGGUAGAAUUCCCGGUGUAGCGGUGAAAUGCGUAGAGAUCGGGAGGAAUACCAGUGGCGAAGGCGGCCUUCUGGACUGACACUGACGCUGAGGUGCGAAAGCGUGGGUAGCAAACAGGAUUAGAUACCCUAGUAGUC